GACGAACGCUGGCGGCGUGCUUAACACAUGCAAGUCGAACGGAAAGGCCCUGCUUUUGUGGGGUGCUCGAGUGGCGAAUGGGUGAGUAACACGUGAGUAACCUGCCCUUGACUUUGGGAUAACUUCAGGAAACUGGGGCUAAUACCGGAUAGGAGCUCCUGCUGCAUGGUGGGGGUUGGAAAGUUUCGGCGGUUGGGGAUGGACUCGCGGCUUAUCAGCUUGUUGGUGGGGUAGUGGCUUACCAAGGCUUUGACGGGUAGCCGGCCUGAGAGGGUGACCGGCCACAUUGGGACUGAGAUACGGCCCGGACUCCUACGGGAGGCAGCAGUGGGGAAUAUUGCACAAUGGGCGGAAGCCUGAUGCAGCAACGCCGCGUGCGGGAUGACGGCCUUCGGGUUGUAAACCGCUUUCGCCUGUGACGAAGCGUGAGUGACGGUAAUGGGUAAAGAAGCACCGGCUAACUACGUG
rnacentral:rRNA from 1 species